CAUGUACUCCCUCCGCCCAGAAAUACUUGUCGUGGGAAUGGAUGUAUAUAGAUGUAUUUUAGUUCUAGAUACAUCCAUUUGUAUGACAAGUAAUUCCGGAUGGAGGGAGUACAUC
rfam:Hordeum vulgare subsp. vulgare, WGS project CAJW01000000 data, contig: morex_contig_1580789